GGGCAUGUGGUCUAGUGGUAUGAUUCUCGCUUUGGGAGAGAGAGAUCCCGAGUUUGAUUCUCGGAAUACCCG
rnacentral:tRNA from 1 species